UACAGAGGGGGCAAGCGUUAUUCGGAAUUAUUGGGCGUAAAGGGCGCGUAGGCGGCCAUUCAAGUGACGGGUGAAAGCCCUCGGCUUAACCGAGGAACUGCCUGUCAGACUGGAUGGCUUGAGACCGGGAGAGGUGAGUGGAAUUCCCAGUGUAGCGGUGAAAUGCGUAGAUAUGCGGAGGAACACCGAUGGCGAAGGCAAUCCCCUGGGCCUGCACUGACGCUCAUGCACGAAAGCGUGGGGAGCAAACAGG
rnacentral:rRNA from 1 species